AGUGAACGCUGGCGGUAGGCCUAACACAUGCAAGUCGAACGGCAGCACAGUAAGAGCUUGCUCUUACGGGUGGCGAGUGGCGGACGGGUGAGGAAUACAUCGGAAUCUACUUUUUCGUGGGGGAUAACGUAGGGAAACUUACGCUAAUACCGCAUACGACCUACGGGUGAAAGCAGGGGAUCUUCGGACCUUGCGCGAUUGAAUGAGCCGAUGUCGGAUUAGCUAGUUGGCGGGGUAAAGGCCCACCAAGGCGACGAUCCGUAGCUGGUCUGAGAGGAUGAUCGGCCACACUGGAACUGAGACACGGUCCAGACUCCUACGGGAGGCAGCAGUGGGGAAUAUUGGACAAUGGGCGCAAGCCUGAUACAGCCAGACCGCGUGGGUGAAGAAGGCCUUCGGGUUGUAAAGCCCUUUUGUUGGGAAAGAAAAGCAGCAGGUUAAUACCCCGCUGUUCUGACGGUACCCAAAGAAUAAGCACCGGCUAACUUCGUG
rnacentral:rRNA from 1 species